rnacentral:rRNA from 1 species
ACGGUCCUAAGGUAGCGAAAUUCUUUGUCGGGUAAGUUCCGACCUGCAUGAAUGGCGUAACGACUGGAGCACUGUCUCAACCACCGACCCGGUGAAGUUGUAGCCGUGGUGAAGAUGCCACGUUCCCGCAUCGUGACGGAAAGACCCUAUGAACCUUUACUGCAAGCUGGUAUUGGUAUUAGAUAUAUCUUGUGUAGGAUAGGU